rnacentral:rRNA from 1 species
UACGGAGGGAGCUAGCGUUGUUCGGAAUUACUGGGCGUAAAGCGCACGUAGGCGGCUACUCAAGUCAGAGGUGAAAGCCCGGGGCUCAACCCCGGAACUGCCUUUGAAACUAGGUAGCUAGAAUCUUGGAGAGGUCAGUGGAAUUCCGAGUGUAGAGGUGAAAUUCGUAGAUAUUCGGAAGAACACCAGUGGCGAAGGCGACUGACUGGACAAGUAUUGACGCUCAUGCACGAAAGCGUGGGGAGCAAAC